rnacentral:rRNA from 1 species
AACGCGAAGAACCUUACCUGGGCUCGAAAUGUAGUGGACUGGGGUAGAAAUAUCCCUUCCUAGCAAUAGGCUGCUAUAUAGGUGCUGCAUGGCUGUCGUCAGCUCGUGUCGUGAGAUGUUGGGUUAAGUCCCGCAACGAGCGCAACCCUUAUUACCAGUUGCCAUCAUUCAGUUGGGCACUCUGGUGAGACCGCCUCGGAUAACGGGGAGGAAGGCGGGGAUGACGUCAAGUCCUCAUGGCCUUUAUGUCCAGGGCUACACACGUGCUACAAUGGCCGGUACAAACCGUCGCAAACCCGUGAGGGGGAGCUAAUCGGAAAAAGCCGGCCUCAGUUCGGAUUGGAGUCUGCAACUCGACUCCAUGAAGCUGGAAUCGCUAGUAAUCGCAGAUCAGAACGCUGCGGUGAAUACGUUCCCGGGCCUUGUA